rnacentral:rRNA from 1 species
GAUGAACGCUGGCGGCGUGCCUAAUACAUGCCAGUCGAGCGAACAGACGAGGAGCUUGCUCCUCUGACGUUAGCGGCGGACGGGUGAGUAACACGUGGAUAACCUACCUAUAAGACUGGGAUAACUUCGGGAAACCGGAGCUAAUACCGGAUAAUAUAUUGAACCGCAUGGUUCAAUAGUGAAAGACGGUUUUGCUGUCACUUAUAGAUGGAUCCGCGCCGCAUUAGCUAGUUGGUAAGGUAACGGCUUACCAAGGCAACGAUGCGUAGCCGACCUGAGAGGGUGAUCGGCCACACUGGAACUGAGACACGGUCCAGACUCCUACGGGAGGCAGCAGUAGGGAAUCUUCCGCAAUGGGCGAAAGCCUGACGGAGCAACGCCGCGUGAGCGAUGAAGGUCUUCGGAUCGUAAAACUCUGUUAUUAGGGAAGAACAAAUGUGUAAGUAACUAUGCUCGUCUUGACGGUACCUAAUCAGAAAGCCACGGCUAACUACGUG